UGAGGAAUAUUGGGCAAUGGGCGAAAGCCUGACCCAGCAACGCCGCGUGAAGGAUGAAUGUCGUAAGAUUGUAAACUUCUUUUUGAGGAGACGAAAAAACGAGUUGGUAGCUCGAAUUGACUGUACCCUUAGAAUAAGCCCCGGCUAACUACGUGCCAGCAGCCGCGGUAAUACGUAGGGGGCAAGCGUUGUCCGGAUUUACUGGGUGUAAAGGGCGCGUAGGCUGGUUUGUUAGUCAGAGGUGAAAUCC
rnacentral:rRNA from 1 species